rnacentral:rRNA from 1 species
GAAGCGGCAACAGCUCAAAUUUGAAACCUGGCGUCAGCCCGGAUUGUACUUUGUAGAGGAUGCUUCUGGGUAGCGGCCGGUCUAAGUUCCUUGGAACAGGACGUCAUAGAGGGUGAGAAUCCCGUAUGCGACCGGCCCGCACCCUCCACGUAGCUCCUUCGACGAGUCGAGUUGUUUGGGAAUGCAGCUCUAAAUGGGAGGUAAAUUUCUUCUAAAGCUAAAUACCGGCCAGAGACCGAUAGCGCACAAGUAGAGUGAUCGAAAGAUGAAAAGCACUUUGGAAAGAGAGUUAAAAAGCACGUGAAAUUGUUGAAAGGGAAGCGCUCACAACCAGACUCCGCGGCGGUGUUCCGCCGGUCUUCUGACCGGUCCACUCGCCGCCGUGGGGCCAACAUCGUCUGGGGCCGCCGGAUAAGACCGGAGGAAUGUAGCUCAUUGAGUGUUAUAGCCUCCGGUGAUGCGGCGCGUCCCGGGCGAGGUCCGCGCUUCGGCAAGGAUGUUGGCGUAAUGGUUGUCAGCGGCCCGUCUUGAAACACGGACCAAGGAGUCUAACAUCUAUGCGAGUGUUCGGGUGUCAAACCCCUACGCGGAAUGAAAGUGAACGGAGGUGGGAACCGCAAGGUGCACCAUCGACCGAUCCUGAUGUCCUCGGAUGGAUUUGAGUAAGAGCAUAGCUGUUGGGACCCGAAAGAUGGUGAACUAUGCCUGAAUAGGGUGAAGCCAGAGGAAACUCUGGUGGA